rnacentral:rRNA from 1 species
UGGGGAAUAUUGCACAAUGGGGGAAACCCUGAUGCAGCGACGCCGCGUGAGCGAAGAAGGUUUUCGAAUCGUAAAGCUCUGUCCUAUGAGAAGAUAAUGACGGUAUCAUAGGAGGAAGCCCCGGCUAAAUACGUGCCAGCAGCCGCGGUAAUACGUAUGGGGCGAGCGUUGUCCGGAAUUAUUGGGCGUAAAGGGUACGUAGGCGGUCUAUUAAGUCAGGUGUGAAAGCGUGAGGCUUAACCUCAUUAAGCACUUGAAACUGAUAGACUUGAGUGAAGGAGAGGAAAGUGGAAUUCCUAGUGUAGCGGUGAAAUGCGUAGAUAUUAGGAGGAAUACCGGUGGCGAAGGCGCCUUUCUGGACUUUUACUGACGCUCAGGUACGAAAGCGUGGGGAGCAAACAGG